rnacentral:misc_RNA from 1 species
GCAAACUUGGUCAUUUAGAGGAAGUACAAGUCGUAACAAGGUAUCCGUAGGUGAACCUGCGGAUGGAUCAUUAAUGAAGUGCCAAAUACCAUGUGUAAUGUGAACUGUGUUGAAGAAUAUAUGGUCGGUGCGUGGAUAACCAUGUGGUGGAUAACCAUGUGGUGACGCGCACCGACUGUGUACACGUGCAAACGUAAUUAUGAAACAAACUGAUGCUACAUCGAUAAUGUGUUGUAAAACAUGUCACAACUUUUAGCAACGGAUCUCUUGGCUCUCGCAUCGAUGAAGAACGCAGC